rnacentral:rRNA from 1 species
CCUACGGGAGGCAGCAGUGAGGGAUAUUGGUCAAUGGGGGGAACGCUGAUCCAGCGACGCCGCGUGAGUGAAGAUGUAUUUCGGUAUGUAAAGCUCUUUCAUCAGGGAAGAAAGAAAUGACGGUACCUGACCAAGAAGCCCCGGCUCACUACGUGCCAGCAGCCGCGGAAGUACGUAGGGGGCAGGCGUUAUCCGGAAUUACGGGGUGUAAAGGGAGCGUAGACGGUUAAGUAAGUCUGGAGUGAAAGGCCUGGGCCCAACCCCGGGACUGCUAUGGAAACUAUUGAACUUGAGUGCAGGAGAGGUAAGCGGAAUGCGUAGUGUAGCGGUGAAAUGCGUAGAUAUGAGGAGGAACACCAGUGGCGAAGGCGGCUUACUGGACUGUAACUGACGUGGAGGCUCGAAAGCGUGGGGAGCAAACAGGAUUAGAUACCCGAGUAGUC